AUGGGAAAUAAAGGAAAAAGACCUGGUCCUAUUAGAGCUGGAGGAAGGGCCUUUCCAGGGAGGGCGCCCCCCAAGGGACAGCUGAGGCCGGAGGACAAGGAGGCUGGAGGACAAGUCCUGGCUGAGCUUUCUGAAGGAGGAGCAAGAAACUUGUGUUACUGAAAUACCCACGGCCAAAAUGACAUGCCCCAUGACAUGGCGUCUGCCAUCUUUGAAGCCCUACCAACCAACAGCAAACGGCAGAAAGUUGAGCGUUACCAAGAGUUUCCUUUCUCUGACUGGCUUAUUUGAAAGAUGAUGACCAGCUGUGUAAAAACAAAAGCAAAAUGGUGUAUCCAGCAUGAAUUUGCUCCAUAUUACACUCGGGUACAAGAAAUGUGAAUUUUGGUAUUUUUCCUAAAUCAUGAAGUUUGAUUAGGAGCUGCCCUUCGCCAAGAGGGUAAGGAAUUCAACCUCAGGUAUGAGUCGGGGUGGGGGUGGGCGUGGGAGCGUGUUUGGGAAUCCUUGCAACUCUUCCUUUGUCUUCCCACAGUGUUCUCCCUGUGUGCAUGUCUGUGUCCAAAUUUCCCCUUUUUGAAAGGACACCAGUCAUAUUGGGUUAGAGCCCAUCCGAAUGACCUCAUCUUAACUAAUGAUGUCUGCCAGGGCCCUACUUCCAAAUAAGGUCACUGGACUUCCCCGGGUGGCUUAGCGAUUAAAGGAUCCAGCCUCAUCACUGCAGUGGCUCGGGUCAGUGCUAUGGUGCAGGUUCCAUCCCUGGCCCGGGAACAUCUGCAGGCUGUGCGCAUGCCCCCAAAAAAGUCACGAUUUGAGGUACUAGGGACUAGGAAUUUAACAUAGGAAUUGGAGUGGUGGGUGGGGACACAAUUUAACUCCUAACACCCACCGUCUAACCUGGGCUCUGCCAUACUGGGACUCUGCAUUUCUCCAUCACCUGCUGCACCCUGCCCAGCUCGGCCAACAGGGGGCGCUAGAGGGCCUGCAGGGCUGGAGGAUCCGGGCGGCCGCUUCCCAGCUGCUGCCUGUUCCAUCCUCAGGGGAAGGCUUCUUCACAUGGGCAGCGGCGGGUCCUUAGCGGCCGCUAAGUGCAGCUUGUAGUUUUUCCAGCCUUUGCAGAACCAGCUGCCUCCAGCCCCCUUCGGAGACGCCAGCACCCGCGAGCGUGUGCCCUACUCAGAGAGCUGGGGUUUUGUUCCCAGGGGCUUUUCCUUCAAGCCUUUGUGUUUUCAUUAUCCUGACUUUGCCCUUAGGUCCCCCAGCCCAAGUUCGGGCACCUCUGGGACACCUUAGAAUUAUUUUUUUCACCUCUUCGGUUACCUAGCAACCGAAUUUUAAAGCAACAUGCCUAGCUUUACACCUUUGUGAAUUCUUUGUAUUAAAUUCUCUCUGUUCAGAUAGCUGGACCCCAAAACCCCCAUUCUUGGUAUUCAGGCACCCUCCUCCCCACCCACCUCCAACUGGC
rnacentral:lncRNA from 1 species